GUGGGGAAUAUUGGACAAUGGGCGAAAGCCUGAUCCAGCCAUGCCGCGUGUGUGAAGAAGGUCUUCGGAUUGUAAAGCACUUUAAGUUGGGAGGAAGGGCAGUAAGUUAAUACCUUGCUGUUUUGACGUUACCGACAGAAUAAGCACCGGCUAACUUCGUGCCAGCAGCCGCGGUAAUACGAAGGGUGCAAGCGUUAAUCGGAAUUACUGGGCGUAAAGCGCGCGUAGGUGGUUCAGCAAGUUGAAGGUGAAAUCCCCGGGCUCAACCUGGGAACUGCCUCCAAAACUGCAUGACUAGAGUACGGUAGAGGGUAGUGGAAUUUCCUGUGUAGCGGUGAAAUGCGUAGAUAUAGGAAGGAACACCAGUGGCGAAGGCGACUACCUGGACUGAUACUGACACUGAGGUGCGAAAGCGUGGGGAGCAAACAGGAUUAGAAACCCGGGUAGUCC
rnacentral:rRNA from 1 species